AAACAACUCCAAACUCAGACACGAGUAGACUUUUGAAGCCGGCAGAUCAAAUUUGCACGCGUUUCGUCUCUUCACGUGUGUGUUGUUUGUGUGUGAGGUGGUAGUUUUUAUUGCCAAACCAUUUCCUUCUCCAUGUGAGCAACUGUGUGUGCGAGGAAAUCGGUGGAAGGUGUUUUUAUCGGGAAGCGAACCGACAGGCGAAAGGAAAUCUCCACCACGCUGCGUUGCGGUUUGUGGGGAGGCGAAGGGAAACCGGAUAUCCCCGUGUCGGAAAAUAGCCAGCGCGCUUGUUUUUUGCCCUGACCACCACCGAUUAGAAGCGUUCGGGUGUGAAGAGUGAGAUUUAUGGGCAGGUUUUUUUUUUUCUGCGGAAACCAGUAGUCAUCCAGUAAAUUAGUGGAAAUCUGUGAAUGAAAAGUUAUAAAUUUUAAAGUUUUACACCCGGAUCUUGCUAGACAGAGGAGAAGGCCAUCUCCCGGUCACGUCAUCGCGUACAUGAGAAAAGUCCAUAAUCAUCGCCAAAAACAGAAACUUCCAUUUCGUACCCAGGGAAAGGUUCGAACGUGUGGAAAGUACAGUUUCGUGGGGGAAAUACGUGCGAAUUAAGUUUUAUGCGUCCCGGUCGAACAUGAGUGUUACGUUCCUUGCCGGGUUGGUGUGUAUUGUUUAGUGCGAAAGAAACGAGCGCUCAAGUUGUUCAAAGGCUAAUCUAUAUUAAAUAAGCACAAGAGCCCCAGCAUCAUCCAACCAAGGGAGGCCAAAUUUCGUGGAACCUGGCAGUGAGUGUUUUGCACGUAAAGGCCACCAAUAAGCAAUUCCGUGAGGUCGUGAUUGUGUGUAUGUGUGACCCAAAGUUCAGAUUGUCCUGGCGGGAUUGUUCCGAAAGAAGCUGCUAGCUAGUGACAUCCACACAUGUGUGCUCUGGUUGUUUUCGUAAAGUUUUCUCACGGAAAGUUGUUCAAAGUUCGACAGAUAGCAAGAAAAGUAAUUUAAGCAACUAUUAUUCCGCUGGGAAUUGCCGAUAUCCAGACGCUGAUUAGAAGGAGUGAUGAAGUUUGUUUGUCGCUGCCAAGCGGCUGAAAAUAUCUAAUAACCGAAAGGGAAAAUCGGUGUCCGGUUCAGUGGAUCAGUGCAGAAGCCAAAGUGCUCAACCGAGCUGGUUCACCAGUGGAAACGAGGCGAGCGAGAAGAUUAAAGCCGUCGACGAGGGAAUUUGGACGAGAGACUUUAAAAUUGCAUACCAUAGAGCAGAACAACCGUUCGAAUCGGCUUGACGUGUCCAAAAAGUUCAUGACAUCUUCCACGGUUGGGCAGAGUGCUCCGCAGAGAACACCAAAAGUGACAGCUAUUAAACAUUAAAGAAAAGAACUGCACGGCCUCAAGAACUGCGACUAGGGGACAUCGAAGACGAAGACGUCCAAAUACGAAUUCCCCCAGCCGGAGUGGAUUCCCCAGCAACGAGCAGUCGGUGCCGCGGAAAAAAAAGUUUUGGAAAUCAUCCAGCAGAGUAAACAUAAACAAAAGAAACAUAAACCAUUUGACUCGUGUGAUGAAUUUUGAAGAGCGCGUCAUUGCUAGAGAAUCGAAAUUCCACAUUCGAUGGCAAGCCUCACAUUUCUAAGCUUCUUCUUCGUUCGGUGUGAAAGAUAAACAAUACUGUUUCCCUGCCUCGACUCGAGUACACAGUAGAUAUAGCCGCCAUAAGAGCUAGCGUCAUCAGUUUCUACUUAGCACCCACCACCCACAACCCCCGACGUUGUCGUCGUCGUCGUCUUGAGCAGAUCUAUCUAUACUACUGCUGCAUCGUUAGAGUAAUUGUGUACAUGUGAAUGUUGAUAAAAGUUAUGAAAAUAUAAUAUUUGUAGAAAAUCGAAACCGCAUCGUUCGGGAAAUUAGCGCUCCGCGGCCAAUAUGUAUUCCGCACAUCAGUAGAUUGUUCAACGAAGCAAAUAAGCCCCUCCGCCAGCAAGUGUUUUAUAAAUGUGUGCAUAUGAGAUUAAAUCAUUCCACUUGAUGACGCAUAGCGUGUAGAAGUAAAAUUUUUAAGCAGAAAAAUAAUCGAUAAGUGUUUAGCGCAGCUUGUGUGUUCUUGAUGAGAGAAGAAGGAAAAAAAAUCAGUCAAAUAGUCAAGUGUUUCCAGCGGUAGAAGAAGAAAACAACAGAAACCAGUUUUUCCAACGACGACGAAAGUGAAGCGAAAAAAUAAGAGUGAAAUUUAUUGCUCAACCAGAUCAUCUUACUUCCUCGGAGUGAUUUAUAGGGAAAUUUUAAGCCACGAGCAGCAAGAAAUCCAAGUGCGUGUCGAGUGCGUGUGUUCCAGCAGUGGGGCAGCAUUUGAAGCUAGUGAAUUGUGAAUCAAGGAAGAAUCAAGAAAGAAGUUUGGCUCAAUUCCAAAAGGUGUGCAUAACGUCACACAGCUCAAUUCCGUUUUCCUGUUCUAUCCUAACUACAUUACAUCGACAAAGGGAAACCCCCGUCCUUCGGCAGUAGUAGCAGCAGCAUCAGAAUUUUCAACAAAAGUCAUCAGCAGUAACACCCAACGAUGGAUAUCCUACCGAGUGGAAACAUCUUCCGGGAGCUGCAGAUCAUCCAUGAUACCGGGUGCUUCUCGUCGGAAUCCUCGAUCGAGGACCAAUGGCAACAGGUAAUUGAAAAAGUGCUUCCCCCUCCUCGUGGAGACGGACGCGACGCCCUCCGUCAUCAGCGAUGAAAAGCGUUUUCUCCCAGAGCAUUGUGAUGUAGCAGUGAAAAUUUGCAACAGUAACUGCAAAACGAGAGACGGUAUUUAUGGAAUACAUAGUUGAGUGUAACUAUAGUUUGCAGCAUUCGAACAUGAACUUAACGACUUAGUUU